rnacentral:rRNA from 1 species
UACGAAGGGGGCUAGCGUUGCUCGGAAUCACUGGGCGUAAAGGGUGCGUAGGCGGGUUGUUAAGUCAGGGGUGAAAUCCUGGAGCUCAACUCCAGAACUGCCUUUGAUACUGAGGAUCUUGAGUUCGGGAGAGGUGAGUGGAACUGCGAGUGUAGAGGUGAAAUUCGUAGAUAUUCGCAAGAACACCAGUGGCGAAGGCGGCUCACUGGCCCGAUACUGACGCUGAGGCACGAAAGCGUGGGGAGCAAACAGG